CCAGCAGGCCGCCUUAUCGCUCUUUGCAAAAAGGGAGGAAAGUCCGGACACCAGAGGGCAGCAUAGCGGGUAACGCCCGUCACCGUGGUAUGCAGAACCGCGGGAGGACAAGUGCAACAGAAAGUAUGUACAGGUAAUGCUGUAGUGAAACCAGGUAAACUCUAUGCGGUGAAAUGCCAUGUAUACCGGCUAUAUGUAGGGCUGCUCGCCCGAUGCCGGGGGGUAGGCAGAUUGAGCGUAACAGUAAUGUUGCAUCCAGAUAAAUGAUAAGGGUCCCUCGGGGAUACAGAAUCCGGCUUACAGGCCUGCUUUUUUU
rfam:Flavobacterium subsaxonicum WB 4.1-42 = DSM 21790 strain WB 4.1-42 contig1, whole genome shotgun sequence.